rnacentral:piRNA from 1 species
UCUCCAUGAAAGAGCCUUAUUACCUGUCA